rnacentral:rRNA from 1 species
UUGGGCGUAAAGCGAGCGCAGGCGGUUAGAUAAGUCUGAAGUUAAAGGCUGUGGCUUAACCAUAGUACGCUUUGGAAACUGUUUAACUUGAGUGCAAGAGGGGAGAGUGGAAUUCCAUGUGUAGCGGUGAAAUGCGUAGAUAUAUGGAGGAACACCGGUGGCGAAAGCGGCUCUCUGGCUUGUAACUGACGCUGAGGCUCGAAAGCGUGGGGGGCAAACAGGAUUAGAUACCCUGGUAGUCCACGCCGUAAACGAUGAGUGCUAGGUGUUAGACCCUUUCCGGGGUUUAGUGCCGCAGCUAACGCAUUAAGCACUCCGCCUGGGGAGUACGACCGCAAGGUUGAAACUCAAAGGAAUUGACGGGGGCCCGCACAAGCGGUGGAGCAUGUGGUUUAAUUCGAAGCAACGCGAAGAACCUUACCAGGUCUUGACAUCCCUCUGACCGCUCUAGAGAUAGAGUUUUCCUUCGGGACAGAGGUGACAGGUGGUGCAUGGUUGUCGUCAGCUCGUGUCGUGA